UACGAAGGGGGCGAGCGUUGUUCGGAAUUACUGGGCGUAAAGGCGCGUAGGCGGCCGAUCAAGUCAGAUGUGAAAGUCCUGGGCUUAACCUGGGGACUGCAUUUGAUACUGAUUGGCUUGAAUGCAGGAGAGGAUAGCGGAAUUCCCAGUGUAGAGGUGAAAUUCGUAGAUAUUGGGAAGAACACCGGUGGCGAAGGCGGCUAUCUGGACUGUGAUUGACGCUGAGGAGCGAAAGCGUGGGGAGCGAACAGG
rnacentral:rRNA from 1 species